rnacentral:rRNA from 1 species
AACGAACGCUGGCGGCAUGCCUAACACAUGCAAGUCGAACGAAGCCUUCGGGCUUAGUGGCGCACGGGUGCGUAACACGUGGGAAUCUGCCCUUCGGUUCGGAAUAACAGUUAGAAAUGACUGCUAAUACCGGAUGAUGACGAAAGUCCAAAGAUUUAUCGCCGAAGGAUGAGCCCGCGUAGGAUUAGGUAGUUGGUAGGGUAAUGGCCUACCAAGCCGACGAUCCUUAGCUGGUCUGAGAGGAUGAUCAGCCACACUGGGACUGAGACACGGCCCAGACUCCUACGGGAGGCAGCAGUGGGGAAUAUUGGACAAUGGGCGAAAGCCUGAUCCAGCAAUGCCGCGUGAGUGAUGAAGGCCUUAGGGUUGUAAAGCUCUUUUACCAGGGAUGAUAAUGACAGUACCUGGAGAAUAAGACUCCGGCUAACUCCGUGCCAGCAGCCGCGGU